rnacentral:tRNA from 1 species
GGCAGGAUAGCUCAGUGGUAGAGUGCUUGCCUAGCAUGCAUAAGUGGGUUCGAUCCCCAACACUGUCA